rnacentral:tRNA from 1 species
ACAUUGGUGGUUUUGUGGUAGAAUACCCACCUUUUAGGCAGGAGACCCAGGUUUGAUUCUCAGCCGAUGUA